GAGGAUAUAGAUCAGUAGUAGAGCAUGUGCUUAACAUGCAUGAGGUCCUGGGUUUUAUCCCCAGUACCUCCA
rnacentral:tRNA from 1 species